rnacentral:rRNA from 1 species
AUGCUGGAGGUAUCAGAAGUGCGAAUGCUGACAUAAGUAACGAUAAAGCGGGUGAAAAGCCCGCUCGCCGGAAGACCAAGGGUUCCUGUCCAACGUUAAUCGGGGCAGGGUGAGUCGACCCCUAAGGCGAGGCCGAAAGGCGUAGUCGAUGGGAAACAGGUUAAUAUUCCUGUACUUGGUGUUACUGCGAAGGGGGGACGGAGAAGGCUAUGUUGGCCGGGCGACGGUUGUCCCGGUUUAAGCGUGUAGGCUGGUUUUCCAGGCAAAUCCGGAAAAUCAAGGCUGAGGCGUGAUGACGAGGCACUACGGUGCUGAAGCAACAAAUGCCCUGCUUCCAGGAAAAGCCUCUAAGCAUCAGGUAACAUCAAAUCGUACCCCAAACCGACACAGGUGGUCAGGUAGAGAAUACCAAGGCGCUUGAGAGAACUCGGGUGAAGGAACUAGGCAAAAUGGUGCCGUAACUUCGGGAGAAGGCACGCUGAUAUGUAGGUGAAGUCCCUCGCGGAUGGAGCUGAAAUCAGUCGAAGAUACCAGCUGGCUGCAACUGUUUAUUAAAAACACAGCACUGUGCAAACACGAAAGUGGACGUAUACGGUGUGACGCCUGCCCGGUGCCGGAAGGUUAAUUGAUGGGGUCAGCGCAAGCGAAGCUCUUGAUCGAAGCCCCGGUAAACGGCGGCCGUAACUAUAACGGUCCUAAGGUAGCGAAAUUCCUUGUCGGGUAAGUUCCGACCUGCACGAAUGGCGUAAUGAUGGCCAGGCUGUCUCCACCCGAGACUCAGUGAAAUUGAACUCGCUGUGAAGAUGCAGUGUACCCGCGGCAAGACGGAAAGACCCCGUGAACCUUUACUAUAGCUUGACACUGAACAUUGAGCCUUGAUGUGUAGGAUAGGUGGGAGGCUUUGAAGUGUGGACGCCAGUCUGCAUGGAGCCGACCUUGAAAUACCACCCUUUAAUGUUUGAUGUUCUAACGUUGACCCGUAAUCCGGGUUGCGGACAGUGUCUGGUGGGUAGUUUGACUGGGGCGGUCUCCUCCUAAAGAGUAACGGAGGAGCACGAAGGUUGGCUAAUCCUGGUCGGACAUCAGGAGGUUAGUGCAAUGGCAUAAGCCAGCUUGACUGCGAGCGUGACGGCGCGAGCAGGUGCGAAAGCAGGUCAUAGUGAUCCGGUGGUUCUGAAUGGAAGGGCCAUCGCUCAACGGAUAAAAGGUACUCCGGGGAUAACAGGCUGAUACCGCCCAAGAGUUCAUAUCGACGGCGGUGUUUGGCACCUCGAUGUCGGCUCAUCACAUCCUGGGGCUGAAGUAGGUCCCAAGGGUAUGGCUGUUCGCCAUUUAAAGUGGUACGCGAGCUGGGUUUAGAACGUCGUGAGACAGUUCGGUCCCUAUCUGCCGUGGGCGCUGGAGAACUGAGGGGGGCUGCUCCUAGUACGAGAGGACCGGAGUGGACGCAUCACUGGUGUUCGGGUUGUCAUGCCAAUGGCACUGCCCGGUAGCUAAAUGCGGAAGAGAUAAGUGCUGAAAGCAUCUAAGCACGAAACUUGCCCCGAGAUGAGUUCU